GGGCGGUUAGCUCAGUUGGCUAGAGCACCUGCCUUACAAGCAGGGGGUCACAGGUUCAAGUCCUGUACCGCCCA
rfam:Phycisphaerae bacterium ST-NAGAB-D1, complete genome.